UACGUAGGGUCCGAGCGUUGUCCGGAGUUACUGGGCGUAAAGCGCGCGCAGGCGGCGGUGCUGGCCCGGCGUGAAAGCCCCCGGCUCAACCGGGGAGGGUCGUCGGGGACGCACCGCUUGAGGGCGGUAGGGGCUGGUGGAAUGCCUGGUGUAGUGGUGAAAUGCGUAGAGAUCAGGCGGAACACCCGUGGCGAAGGCGGCCAGCUGGGCCGUCCCUGACGCUGAGGCGCGAAGGCGUGGGGAGCGAACAGG
rnacentral:rRNA from 1 species